rnacentral:rRNA from 1 species
UGGGGAAUAUUGCACAAUGGGCGGAAGCCUGAUGCAGCGACGCCGCGUGAGGGAUGACGGCCUUCGGGUUGUAAACCUCUUUCAGUAGGGACGAAGCGUAAGUGACGGUACCUGCAGAAGAAGCACCGGCUAACUACGUGCCAGCAGCCGCGGUAAUUCGUAGGGUGCGAGCGUUGUCCGGAAUUACUGGGCUUAAAGAGCUCGUAGGCGGUUUGUCACGUCGUCUGUGAAAUCCUAGGGCUUAACCCUGGACGUGCAGGCGAUACGGGCUGACUUGAGUACUACAGGGGAGACUGGAAUUUCUGGUGUAGAGGUGGAAUGCACAGAUAUCAGGAAGAACACCGAUGGCGAAGGCAGGUCACUGGGUAGUAACUGACGCUGAGGAGCGAAAGAAUGGGUAGCGAACAGG